rnacentral:tRNA from 1 species
GCGCCCAUAGCUCAACAGGAUAGAGCACAAGCCUUCUAAGCUUGGGGUUGGUGGUUCGAGUCCACCUGGGCGCG